ACCCCUUUUCAUAUAAUAAAUAUUUAUAUUUUUUUUAUUCAUAGAUGAAAUGGUUCGAUUUCGGGUAUGGAUUUGGGUCGGAUACCCCAAUAACCAUAACCAAACCCAAAAUCGAAAAAUUUACUCGACGGUUACCCAUAACCGUAAAAUACUCAAAUUUUAUACCCGAAAUCGAACCAUUCAAAUGGGUUACUUGCGGGGAUUAGAUUUGAUGGGUUAUAUUGUCAUCCCUAGGUUUAACUUCCAUUUUUCUUACUACCGAAGCCACUAAUCCGGGUAUAAUUACUUUGAACAACUAGUUGAUCUUCGAUGAUUUGUACAUUAUGGCUUAUUGCUUUUUAGUUAAAAAGGAGUUCUGAUAUUGGUGUAAUUCUUUAUUUUAGUAUCUGGCAAUAGAAAUCAAUAUAAGUGGUUUAUGUGUAUUUUCGUUGUAAAUUAUUUUAGUUUUUUUUAUGAAAAUUUAUCAAUAUUUCGUUAAAUUGUCACUGAACAAUCACGUGACCACAUUUUUAAGAAUAUUUUUGUCAAACCAACCACUCUACUUAACGAGGAUAUUAAUAAAAAAUUUCACUAAAUAACCAAAAUAAUUUACAGUAAAAAAACUUGAGAUUCUCUCUAUUAUCUUUCAUUGUUAGAAAUUAAAAUGAGAAGUCAUGAUAGUUCCAGAUAUCAUCUUAACUAGAACACCAAUGACUAAUUGAUUAAGGGGGUCCACUCCCUUGCAUUAUAUGGGUUGGGCAGUCCACUUGUUUUUUUUUUUUUUAACUCAAUAAUUGAGUUACAGAAUUGAUUGCAAAUUGUAAAGUUUUCAAAAAAUUUAUUUCCCAUUUUCUAUCUUUCCUUUCCCUAUAAGUUGAUUUUGUUUCCUUUGAUUUCUUGUCCGAAUCCAAUUUCUCAAAU
rnacentral:lncRNA from 1 species